UUCAAAAGUUUGAGGUGGUAAUAAUAAUAGUGUUUCAUAUAAACGCAAACGAACCAUAGCAGCUGGAGCCUUUAAUUGUUGACCAUAAUUUUUCAAUACAGGUGAUAAACUGAAUUUGUUAACAUUGCCAAUGCAGAUUCAAUUGGUGUUAGAAGCCGUCUUGUAAUAUCGUCAUUUAAAAGUUCGGGGCAAUGUAACAAGAAACUAUGCAUCGCAGAUAAUGCACCAGCUCGACCUUCUAAAGUCACUUGCCAUGUAAAAGCAUCACCUCUAGCCUUUUCGCUUUCGAGUUCUUUAUUUGAACGAGGAAAAGAAUUUCUCCAUAAUAACAACAUUCUAGCGGCGAUAAACGAACGCUACCGAGAACUGCAGCUAAUGCACUACUAUAUCCAGCUAUUGCUUCUGGUGAACUACGCAUAUUUUCUAUUCCAUCUACACAACGAUCAAUUAGAGGUGUUAUCUGACUUGGUACUGCUACACAAAUGCAACGUAAACACCACGAAGCUGCAAGUCUAGCUGCUUGACAUGGAUGAAUCAAAACAGCCAUAAUGAAUAGACAGCAUCAACAUGUGAGCUUGCUGCUUUUGGAUUCGUUACAAGAUCAAGUACAUGUGCAACUAAUGUACCAACAUUGCGUUCAAGCCAUGAUCCUCCUAGCAUUUGAACAAAUACAACAUAUGCCUGUAAAAUAUCAAUGAAUAAUUAAUUAGAUUGUUUUAUAAAAUGAAUAUGAG
rnacentral:misc_RNA from 1 species